rnacentral:misc_RNA from 1 species
CCAAUAGCGUAUAUUAAAGUUGUUGUGGUUAAAAAGCUCGUAGUUGAACCUUGGGCCUGGCUGGCCGGUCCGCCUCACCGCGUGUACUGGUCCGGCCGGGCCUUUCCCUCUGUGGAACCUCAUGCCCUUCACUGGGUGUGACGGGGAAGCAGGACUUUUACUGUGAAAAAAUUAGAGUGCUCCAAGCAGGCCUAUGCUCGAAUACAUUAGCAUGGAAUAAUAAAAUAGGACGUGCGGUUCUAUUUUGUUGGUUUCUAGGACAGCCGUAAUGAUUAAUAGGGACAGUCGGGGGCAUCAGUAUUCAAUUGUCAGAGGUGAAAUUCUUGGAUUUAUUGAAGACUAACUACUGCGAAAGCAUUUGCCAAGGAUGUUUUCAUUAAUCAGGAACGAAAGUUAGGGGAUCGAAGACGAUCAGAUACCGUCGUAGUCUUAACCAUAAACGAUGCCAACCAGCGAUUAGCCUGAGUUCCUUAAAUGACUCGGCUAGCAGCUUCCG